GCACUUGAGUCUUCUUUUGUUCGUUUCUCUACGCUGGUCUCAUAUAGCUCGAUCCGGAAGUGGAGUAGCCCGGACUCGAACCAGCGCCCAUAUGGGAUGCCCAGCACUGCAGGUGGUGGCUUUUACACAAUCUUUUUUUUUUAAAGCUAACUUUAUUAUGGUACCGAAGAAUUUUUUGAAAUUCAUGCAGUUUUUUCUUAAGAUGCAUUUUCUGUGAACUUUAUGAAAGCCCCCCUGGACUAUGAUUUAAUUUUCCUGAUUGAAGUAGAGGCCAUGGUGUGGGGAGGAUGCAAAGGAGAAAGCUGGAAUUCGCUCUAGCUGGGAGGGAGAGAGUAAGAAAGCCCGCAGUCAGGGAUCUUAGACAGACUUGAUUUCGGUACAAUGUUUACCGUGAGAGCUUCCUGAUAAAACAGGAAAGGCAAGCACUUGUAUUUCCUUCUGCAGGACAGAGUUCCUUUUGCUGAAAUGUCCACUGAUCAUUCUGAGAAGUUGUGCAGAGGCCCAGUGGCUCUCCCAUCCGUCUGUGUCCUCAAGUAAGGCACCAGCUCAGCUCGUCCCUGUCCUCCUCUCUCCUGAAUGCUCCCAGCGCUUGGAGCACCCACCACUUCCCAGGGACGUGGACUCUUUCACCUGGCACCUAUUAUUUUUCCCCUGCUAAUUAUGCACUGGCUUUGGCAAAGAGAGUGGAUAAUGCAGGUAAGACAUGUUUGUAUUCUGGUCGUCAAGGAGUCGGGGGAUCUGUUCACUUAGCUCAAAGCUUGCUUACACUCAGUAAGCACAUCAGCAUUUAGAUUUCUGGACCUUCACCAAGUCUCCGCAUCUCUGCCCACAAGCUAUGCUGAGUUUAGUGAUUUGUGGCAUGUUGUCUUCUCUGGGGGUUUUGUCUUGUCUCUAUUACCCCCUGAGCCUGA
rnacentral:lncRNA from 1 species